AUUCUUCUCCUUCAUGCCAGAACCCUCUUUAUCAAUUCCGCAGCAAUUUUCGUUGAUAUCUUAUUUACAAUCAUUAGAACAACUUGAUUGCAGAUUUAUAUCCUUUGUAAAACCCUAGGUUUCACAUUCUCGAUCCCUGUCGAUUAAUUGAUGGAAGACUUCAACAAGGAAAAUGUAAUUUAGGGUCUUGAAGAACAUGAUACUGAUAUAGGUGUGGUUCAACAGGGUCAAUCCGCU